rnacentral:rRNA from 1 species
GAUGAACGCUGGCGGCGUGCCUAAUACAUGCAAGUCGAGCGAACAGACGAGGAGCUUGCUCCUCUGACGUUAGCGGCGGACGGGUGAGUAACACGUGGAUAACCUACCUAUAAGACUGGGAUAACUUCGGGAAACCGGAGCUAAUACCGGAUAAUAUAUUGAACCGCAUGGUUCAAUAGUGAAAGACGGUUUUGCUGUCACUUAUAGAUGGAUCCGCGCCGCAUUAGCUAGUUGGUAAGGUAACGGCUUACCAAGGCAACGAUGCGUAGCCGACCUGAGAGGGUGAUCGGCCACACUGGAACUGAGACACGGUCCAGACUCCUACGGGAGGCAGCAGUAGGGAAUCUUCCGCAAUGGGCGAAAGCUUGACGGAGCAACGCCGCGUGAGUGAUGAAGGUCUUCGGAUCGUAAAACUCUGUUAUUAGGGAAGAACAAAUGUGUAAGUAACUAUGCACGUCUUGGCGGUACCCAAUCAGAAAGCCACGGCUAACUACGUG